rnacentral:rRNA from 1 species
UACGUAGGGUGCAGGCGUUAAUCGGAAUUACUGGGCGUAAAGCGUGCGCAGGCGGUGAGCUGUGUCCGAUGUGAAAGCCCCGGGCUUAACCUGGGAAUGGCAUUGGAAACUGGCUCGCUGGAGUGUGGCAGAGGGGGGUGGAAUUCCGCGUGUAGCAGUGAAAUGCGUAGAGAUGUGGAGGAACACCGAUGGCGUAGGCAGCCUCCUGGGCCAAUUCUGACGCUCAGGCACGAAAGCGUGGGGAUCAAACAGG